rnacentral:lncRNA from 1 species
UGGUGGCUGGGGUAAAGUUGCCUCCCAUUUUAGAGAAACAACUUAUAAUCACAUUCUCAGGUCCUUUGGGGAUCUAGAGUGGUGGGAUCAUGUUGCCCAUGAAGCUACGUUGGAGCUAAUAGGAGUGCUCCCUGUUGAGAAGGAGAUUUCAAAGUGAAGAAACAGAUUGAAAGAGUUCUGCUGUCAAGUGGCCUGUUGGAGAAAAGGGCAUGGAUGAUGAAAAUACAGAUGAGAAAAAGGGGAAUUGUUUCAGGCAUCAGAGAACACUG